rnacentral:rRNA from 1 species
UACGUGAAACUGUUCAGGGGUAAACCUGUGGUUCCCGAAAGUUCGAACGGGGAGAUUCAAUUGCCUCGCCGGUUGUGACCAUUAAGUAGUGUAUAUUUUAUAUAUAAAUGAGACAUUGGAUACGUACGGAUUUUUAAUUCGUUACUGUUAUUUAAUGCUCCGCUAUUUUAUGUAUGGUUUAUAAACGGAGGCAUGCACUUCUCCCCUUGUAGGACGUCGUGACCCAUUGGGUAAUUGUUUAAGGCUCAUAAUGGAGACCGUAGCGUGUUAAGUUUCGGCUUGUACGUUUUCGGACUUGUGAUGUCCCGACAUUAACCUGAUGGUAUAUUAUAAUGAUGAUAAAUCGCUAUUUGAACGCGUUUUAGACCCAUAACAAAUGUGUAUAAAUUUGUGGAUACCUGACGUGUGUGCUGGCACUACUAUUAUUACAUUGUUAGUUGUGGUGUUCUCGAACCGAUUUUUAUCAUCUGUCAACGGCGUUUAUGUUUUGGGUAAUUACAGGACCCGUCUUGAAACACGGACCAAGGAGUCUAGCAUGUGCGCAAGUCAUUGGGACUUUAAUAAACCUAAAGGCGUAAUGAAAGUGAAUAUAUUGUGAGUUUUUAUAAUUCAUUUUAUUAAGGGAAGAUGGGUAAUGGAAUUUAUAUUACCUCGCAUUCCCGGGGCGUUGCGUACUCAUUGCGAGUUGCGGCGCACCAAGAGCGUACAUGCUGGGACCCGAAAGAUGGUGAACUAUGCCUGGUCAGGAUGAAGUCAGGGGAAACCCUGAUGGAGGUCCGUAGCGAUUCUGACGUGCAAAUCGAUCGUAUGAACUGGGUAUAGGGGCGAAAGACUAAUCGAACAUC